UCCGCUCGUCUCUCUCACAGCCGCUCAGCUCAGUCUCUCUCACUCUCUCCACAGCUGCGACUAGUACUGGCGUCGGGACGGAAGGGAUGGCGAGGGGACGGCGACGGAGUCACGGCGAUCCCCGCGACGGAAGGGAUGGCGAGGGGACGGCGGCGGCGGGUCUCUCCCGUCCAUCUAAUGGAGGGGAGGGGAAGGGGACGGACCAGCCUGCCCCGGCGAUCCCCGCGACGCAGGUGACGGUGAGGGGACGGCGACGGAGUCCCGGCGAUCCCCGUGACGGAGGGGACGGCGGCGGCGGGUCUCUCCCGGCCAUCUAAUGGAGGGGAGGGGAAGGGGACGGACCGGCCUGCCCCGUCGAUCCCCGCGAGGCAGGGGCGGAGACGGCUGCCCUCCGACGGAGGGGAGCCUGUCCCGGAGCCGCCGCCGCCACGGAGCCGCCGCCGCCACCGCGAGCCGCCGCCCCUCCCCCGUGGCGGGACUCACAGCCCCGGCCUGUCCUUCGAGCGUCGACACCCCCUCUCCUCUGCCGCGAGCCGCCACGCCCUGCUCCCGUCGCGGGACCCGUCUUGUCCGCCGACGAAGGGGAUGGGAUGGUGGGAAGCGCUUGUCGCCGCGGCUGAGGAGGGGAGGAGCGGCGGCAGCGACGUUUGUAGAGGCCGGAGAGGGGAGGAGCGGCGGCUGCGGCGUGUAACGUGACCGGCGAGAAGAGAAGCGGUGGCGGCGGCGGGUGGCUGUCGGCCGACGGAGCUAGGGGAGGAAGGAGUGGGCGGCGGCCGCUUCGGCGCAACUUCACAUGCCCGGAUACAGAAGGUAUGAUUGUUCUGAUAUCGUUAGCUACAUGGGUGGUGUGAACUGUGGCAAAACGACAAUGACAAGAAUCUGAAUGCACUUAAGAAGCAUAAUCUUGUAAGGUCCAGGCCACUGGUGAGGACUUUUCUGUUGAGCCAUCUGAUGAGAGGAGGUAAGACGGCAGGUGCAUGUGUUUGAUCUAAGGUAAUGUGUAGCUGUGACUGGAGCAAAUAUCUUACUAUGCUUACCACAUUACCGAUGAACAGAAAAAUCAGAAGCGGUAUGGUGAAACAAUAAAAAUGCCUUCUAAUGAUGUUGGAACUUGUUCAUUUGGCGUUUGUGAAUAGUGAUAUAGUCAACCUUUAUAUACAAUAACUGUGGUACUAAUCAUACUGAUAACAUCAGCCCUUAUUAUCAACUUGAAACUUAUCGGAAGCCAGCUGAUGAUCACAAGGAU